CCGUGCUAGAUGGGGAGCUAGCGGUUCCCUGUAACCUGCAACCCGCUACAGCAGGAUCAAUCGCUUUUUAGAGGGACCAGGACUAUUAGUAUUAUUUAUGUAAGUAGCGAUGAAGGCUGGAUCUCAUGCAAUAAGUGAUGAUGUGAACUUGGUCAGAUGCGGAAGCAAGCAGCCAUAAGCAUUCAUCCUUAUGUGCCGUGAUAAAUCUAGCCCGAGCUGACUGCAUAAAUAAACUACUGGAAAUGGGAACGAAGAAAAGUGCACGG
rfam:Planctomycetes bacterium RIFCSPHIGHO2_02_FTLL_38_41 rifcsphigho2_02_scaffold_62049, whole genome shotgun sequence.